UCAAAGCGGUCGACAUUGCGGGUGUGGUUUGAAGUUGAAAAAAAGGAGGAGUCUAAAAACUAAUCGAUCGAUCGGAACAAGCCAACAAGUACAGACUACUGAGGGGGGAGAGCAACAGAGAGAUAGCAAGAGUAGAGCAGCAAGUCAGCAACAGAGAGUCAGAGAGGGAGAAAACGACUUUGACUUCGGCAACUCGCGCUACUCUGGUAUUCUUUUUCUGCUCUUCUUCUCUAAUUCUCUUCUUUCUUUAUUUCUGGUGUAUUCUGCUUUGUUAACUGCUGCCGCUCAAUUUUUUUUUCCUUCUUUUAUUUCAGAUUCUGCUUUUUUGACUGCUGCUGCCAAGGAUUAUUGCUUUCUUUUAUCCAAACAGGCCUUUAGCGAUUACUGCUGGUUAAAAGUGAUGUGCAUGUGGCCUAUGGGUCCAUAUGUCUCCCACUAACCAAGACUAUAGGCUUUGACUACUGCUGCUAAUUCCUGCUUUCUUUUAUCCAAACCUUUGUUAAAGGACUGCUGGUUAAAAGUAAUGUGCAUGUGGGUUGUGGGUCCAUAUGUCUCCCACUAAAGAGAUACUUUUGAUUUAGUGGGUUACCAAAAUUAACAUGAAGUCAUAUGCUUUGCCACGUAUUAACUACAAGUUACAACUUUAAAUUAAAAUGUUUUAACUUUCAUGCCUAUUUAUAUGCUAAACUGACAUUUAAGUUCCCACUUAAAUAUACCAAAUAAUUAUUUUGUAUAUUCAAAAAUAUCAUAGUAGUUUGACAUUCUUUCACUACACACACUUGAACUUUCGUUCUUUUUUUGCAGUUUUAACC
rnacentral:lncRNA from 1 species